UACGUAGGGUGCAAGCGUGUCCGGAAUUAUUGGGCGUAAAGAGCUCGUAGGCGGUUCGUCGCGUCGGCUGUGAAAUCCCGAGGCUCAACCUCGGGUCUGCAGUCGAUACGGGCGGACUGGAGUUCGGCAGGGGAGACUGGAAUCCUGGUGUAGCGGUGAAAUGCGCAGAUAUCAGGAGGAACACCGGUGGCGAAGGCGGCCUACUGGGCCAGCACUGACGCUGAGGCGCGAAAGCUCGGGGAGCGAACGGG
rnacentral:rRNA from 1 species